UACAGAGGGGGCAAGCGUUGUUCGGAAUUACUGGGCGUAAAGGGCGCGUAGGUGGCCUUCUAAGUCGAACGUGAAAUCCCUGGGCUCAACCCAGGAACUGCGUCCGAUACUGGAAGGCUUGAAUCCGGGAGAGGGAUGCGGAAUUCUCGGUGUAGCAGUGAAAUGCGUAGAUCUCGAGAGGAACACCAGUGGCGAAGGCGGGUCUCUGGACAACACCUGACGCUGAGGCACGAAAGCCAGGGGAGCAAACGGG
rnacentral:rRNA from 1 species